rnacentral:rRNA from 1 species
UGCGAGUCGAGCGAACAGAUAAGGAGCUUGCUCCUUUGACGUUAGCGGCGGACGGGUGAGUAACACGUGGGUAACCUACCUAUAAGACUGGGAUAACUUCGGGAAACCGGAGCUAAUACCGGAUAACAUUUGGAACCGCAUGGUUCUAAAGUGAAAGAUGGUUUUGCUAUCACUUAUAGAUGGACCCGCGCCGUAUUAGCUAGUUGGUAAGGUAACGGCUUACCAAGGCGACGAUACGUAGCCGACCUGAGAGGGUGAUCGGCCAAACUGGAACUGAGCCACGGUCAAAACUAAUACGGGAGGCAGCAGUAGGGAAUCUUCCGCAAUGGGCGAAAGCCUGACGGAGCAACGCCGCGUGAGUGAUGAAGGGUUUCGGCUCGUAAAACUCUGUUAUUAGGGAAGAACAAACGUGUAAGUAACUGUGCACGUCUUGACGGUACCUAAUCAGAAAGCCACGGCUAACUACGUGCCAGCAGCCGCGGUAAUACGUAGGUGGCAAGCGUUAUCCGGAAUUAUUGGGCGUAAAGCGCGCGUAGGCGGUUUCUUAAGUCUGAUGUGAAAGCCCACGGCUCAACCGUGGAGGGUCAUUGGAAACUGGGAAACUUGAGUGCAGAAGAGGAAAGUGGAAUUCCAUGUGUAGCGGUGAAAUGCGCAGAGAUAUGGAGGAACACCAGUGGCGAAGGCGACUUUCUGGUCUGUAACUGACGCUGAUGUGCGAAAGCGUGGGGAUCAAACAGGAUUAGAUACCCUGGUAGUCCACGCCGUAAACGAUGAGUGCUAAGUGUUAGGGGGUUUCCGCUCUCUUACUGCUGCAGCUAACGCAUUAAGCACUCCGCCUGGGGAGUACGACC